GGAUUGCGGCAGCUACACAUGCAGUCGAGCGGAUCAUUGGAGCUUGCUCCUGGAUUCACCGGCGGAGGGUGAGUAAUGCCUAGUGAAUCUGCCUGAUAGUGGGGGAUAACGUCCGGAAACUGGCGCUUGUACCGCAGACCUCCUGAGGGAGAACGUGCGGGAUCUUCGGACCUCAAUCUAUCAGAUGAUCCUAGGUGUGAUUAACUGAUUGGCGGGGUAAAGGCCUACCAAGGCGACAAUCCGUAACUGGUCUGAGAGGAUGAUCAGUCACACUGGAACUGAGACACGGUCCAGACUCCUACGGGAGGCAGCAGUGGGGAAUAUUGGACAAUGGGCGAAAGCCUGAUCCAGCCAUGCCGCGUGUGUGAAGAAGGUCUUCGGAUUGUAAAGCACUUUAAGUUGGGAGGAAGGGCAGUAAGUUAAUACCUUGCUGUUUUGACGUUACCAACAGAAUAAGCACCGGCUAACUUCGUGCCAGCACCCCCGGGGUUAAUAACGUGCCAGCACCGCGGGCAAUAUACAG
rnacentral:rRNA from 1 species